GGCACCGUACAGCGCUGGCCCAUCAGCACCCACCUGGGCACCUGAUGCUAUGGCUGUGGCGGGAACCUGGAUCUGCUGGCCCUGGCUGCUGGCUGCGUUCACCCCUGCAGUGCUCUCUGUCUCCCUAGAGGCCUGGUCUGGUGGGACGGGGGCCCUGGGUGUGGGGGCAGCUCCUGCCUGACACCUUCCCUGGCCAUCCUCCAUGUGACGAACCCUCUGCUGUGACAAUCACGGGCCCCCCACAUCUAGGCAUUCAGUGCUAUCCCACAACAGGAAUUUCUGGGGUUUCCUGAAGUAGAAUGAGGGUUCCGCCCACUUCCUGCAUGCUUUGUCCCUCCCACAGCCCGUGCCCAGUUGUUGUCUUGCUUGUGCAACUUGUUCCCUGAGUGUCCCGGAGCAGGUCACCAGCUGUGGAUCUCGGUGUGACUUGCCCCCCCACAACCGCUGCCUCCCCUUCCCCCACCUUCUUCCUGGCCACAAAGCAGAUCCAGUUGCAGAGCCCUAGAGCCACCACAGGGGAGUGGGAGGCCCCUGGGCCUCUGCAGGGAAUGAUUCCCACCUGGUGGCCGGAAGGUGGCUGAGCCAGGUCUCGGGUCUCGGGAGGGACCGGCCCCCGCCGCAUGACACAGCCUGCUUCCUGUUUCUGUGUUGUUGUUCCAAAGAGCCGACUUGUUACUCACCUGCUUAUUUGACAACAUCUUUGAGUCCUAAACAUGUGACAGAGACACACAGUCACAAAACAUGUGGGAGCUGGCGGUCAGCUUUCUGUUACGUAAUCAAAUAGGUCACUCUGCCUCUGUCCUCCCCCAGUGGCCAAGUCCUGCCCACGGUUGUUUUCUCAGGCUCGGCUUUGUUUCUGAGAUCCUGCUGCUAAGCCUCCCUCUGCGGCCACAUCUGGGAACCACCUCUGCCAGCCCACGGCCCCCGAUGGCUGCCACCAGCGCUGCAGACUUGCUGAGGUCCCAGGAAAAGCCCCUCCUUCCUCUGUCAGGUCCCCCCUCGUGGCCCAGUUUGGUGCCCACCUGUCCUCCUCCUGCCACCUAGCUCCCUAGGAAGCGGGGAGGGACACCAAGCUGGCACCGCCAGGGCACCUGGAGCUCAGCAGCCUGCAGCUGUCCCAGAGUCCCACCCUGUCCCUGCAGGCCUGACCAACCCCGGUGCCCGCCCCACCAGCAGCCUCUAGCCCAGUGCUUGGAGCCUGCCCAGGGCGUCUGCCUGGCUCCCAAACAGCUGCAGGACUGAGGCCUCCCUCUGGGACCUGGGGCCCCACAGGAGCCAUCAAGCUGCAAAGUGCAAAUCCAGAAUGCACUGCCUUUGCCUAUGAAGCAGCGGGACUCGGGGAUGGACGUCUGUUCUGACGCUCGGCCAUGUGUGUGGCCCAAGUGUGGUGCUCUCGGCUCUUCCAGCUCACCCAUGGGACCGUGUCACCUUCAUCUCUCAGCACAGGAAACUGAGGCAGAGAGCAGCUGGCCAGCGGCAGAGCUGGCCUUUGGCCGAGUCCCCUCCCUCAACCCCCACCUCAAUUCUAGGGAGCCCCUUGGUCACACGUCUUCAGCCGAGCCUGGCUGCUUUGGGACCUGGGUUGCUGACAGGCAGGAGGCGCAGAGGUGGGCUGGGCACUGGGCUGGCAGUGGGGUCCGCAGCGACUCGGGUUCCGAGCCACCUUCUGCGGCUUGCAUCUGGCUGAGGCCCAGAGAAAGGGCACUUCCUGAGGGCCACAGGGGCUGGGUGGGGCACAGAGGACCUGGGUUUUCCAGUCCUAGAUGGCAGUCAGGACAGUGCAUCCUGUUUUUGAGCUAUAGAGGGAGCCAACUUGAGCCCUGGUACAGAGGAAGGUGGCCAAAGGGGCCUCAUGCUGCCUGCCCGGUCUGAGCUGCCACCAGUCUGCCACCAUCUCCAGGGACUGCCUGAGCCACUGCUCCUGCUGGAUUUAACAGCUUUGCUGGCUCCACAGAAACUGCAGGGACAUCAGCGCUGGAGGGAAACGGCAUGCGGCUGCUCCGGCCUUUCAUCCGGCACUGAGUGCCGACACAGCCCGGGUGGUGCCAUGGAUUCGGGCAGAGCGGGCUCACAUCUGCAUCCCAGGACGGCUGGCUCCUCUCGCUGCAGUCGCCGACGGUGUGGACCCACGCGUAUCCUCCCCCAGCUGCAGCCCAGCAUCCUCAUCGGCGACCAGGGUGCUCUCCUUGGGACUGCUGUGACCUUGCAGCAGCCAGCAUCGGACCCCAGGGCCCCCAGACCUUAACUAUUGUUAUCACUGUGAUCGGAGCAGUGAGCCAGGCCACAGAGGGAUGGGCACAUCUGGGGGCACCAUGGAGACCACAUCUGCUCACCCUCAAGUCUGACUCCUGGUUAUGUGGUGGCUCAGGAUAUUUGAAUCUGGGAAGGUGGGACUGUCCCUCCAAACCUAUGACACAUGAGGUGUCAUGGGACAGGCCGAUCUACUUGCUGAGUGUGGGUAGGAGGCAGUGCAGGCCUCCGAGGAGAGAGGGUGUACAAAUGGCUUUGCGGGGCGUCUAGGAGUCCCAGACAAGAAGUGAAAGUGGGGCGUGGGGCAUGGAGCAUCGAGGCAUUCUGGGACUGCGGUGGUUGCAGAGGGCUGGAGUGGAGAAAGGCGCCCAUAUUUCUUCUGGGAAGCCAGGACACUCCCGCACUCACAUACGAGCCAGUGGAAGCCCAGGGCGAGUGAGCCCGAGAGGCCCUGGCUGGGCAGGGGAGCCCCACUCUUGCCAACGCUGCAGUCAGGGGCCGGACCUGCAGGCGUGGUGACGGGAGCUGGCUGGGGGUUUCCUGAGGACCCGGGCUGCACACCGGACCUCGCUCUGGAAGGAGGUUCCAGGUUGGAGCUGCCGUGUGAGGGCUGAGGACAGCCUGGGGGCAGCCGGCGCGCAUUAUUUAUGGCUGUUUCUCUGUAAGUCCUUCAGGGCCGCCAAGGUAAUUGAAUAAGUGAGCGUGAGCGAAGGCGGCGAUCAUUUAAUUGUGGCAGAAAAUGAAGUUGGCUGCAGCUGGGGGCUGCCAGCCCAUUACCGCCGGCCCGGUUUCUGCUGAGCUGGGCACACAGGGCGGUGGUGCCAUCCAUCCCCAGCAGCCCCCACGCUGUCCCCUGGCAGCUGUCCCCAUGCCUAGCAGUGCCUGGCUGUGCUGGGAUUCUCUGGGUGGCCCACUCCCCAGGCCCCCUCUGUGCCCCAGGAAGGCAGUGAGGGGCUGGGUAGCCCAGUGGUAGGAGUGGGGCUGGCACUGCAAUGGUCCACAUGAAGAGUGUGGGACCCUUUGAUCAUGACACGGACCUGGGUCGGUGGAGGGCGAGGUGACGGUAAGAAGGUUGUUUGUUGUUAGACUGGAGGCAAUGGGGUCCAGUGUCGGAGGGGGCUAACCAGCUGCAUUUUACAUGAGGGGACCCUGGGUCUUAGGAGCUGUGAGUUACCAGCCCAGGAAGUCCCAGCCAGGAAGCAGCCAUGUCAGGUGAAGAGGUGGGGAAAGACGUGCUCCCUCUGCUCUCGGUACUCGGUCCACUUCCCACUGUCCCUGUAGUAUCCUGGCUGCACGAACACGUUGGUGUUUGUCCUAUGAGAGUUCAGAUUUGUACAUUUGUGAUUCUUCUCCGUUCAACCUACAUCCUCCGCCCAACAAGAUAAGCUUCUUGAGGGUAGGUCAUGCUUCAUCCAUUCAUCUAUCCAUCCAUUUCAUCCACUCAUUCAUCCAUCCAUCCAUCUAUUCAUCCAUCUAUUCAUCCAUACAUCCAUCCAUCCAUCCAUCCACUCAUUCAUCCAUCCAGUCCAUCCAUCCAUCCAUCCAUUCCAUCCAUCCAUCAUUCAUCUAUGCACUCAUUCAUCCAUCCAUCCAUCCAUCCAUCCAUCCAUCCAUCCAUCUAUUCCAUCCAUCCAUCAUUCAUCCAUGCACUCAUUCAUCCAUCCAUUCAUCUACACAUUUCAUCCAUCCAACCAUCCACUCAUCCACUCAUUCAUCCAUCCAUCCAUCCAUCUAUUCAUCCAUCCAUCCAUCCAUCCAGUCCAUCCAUCCAUCCAAACAUGGCGCAAGAACUGAACUGGAAGGGCAAGGGGUGGGCAGGUGGGGGCCACGGGACAGAGCAUGAGCAGGUGGAUGCCGUGUAAUCGAGGGAUGGCAGUUCUGGGAAGCAACAGGGACACCUUCUACUUUCUGUGCACUCAGAGUGCUGGCCACCGAGGGAUCCAGCAGGACAGGCAGAAAGGCUGCAGAGCAGCAGGGCCACCUGCUCCGGAGGCUGGACCAGGGGAAGGAGAGGCAGGGAGGCAGCUGCCCUCCUAGCUGAGCCUGGGGCCGACAAGCUGCAGUGCAGGACAAGGAACCAGCCGAGAACCACCAGCAGCUCACCACGGAGGCGUCAGGGACCUGAGUCCGUGUCUGAGGAAGCUCCUGGAGGGAGCUCUGUCACGGUGAGGACGUGAGUGCAGGAAGAGGGUGGCUGGCACCUGGCGCUGGGGAGCAGAGAAGGGGGGGGCUGGGGCCCGGGCAGGGCGGCCUGGCCAGUAGGCUCUGAGGCCAGGCAGGGAGGAUGCGGUCAGCUUAUCAGAGGGCCGUACCCACUGAGAGGAGGCUGGAAGUCUGCUCGGAGAGCUUGGGGAUGAGCCAAAGACAGCUCGUGGACUCUCAGAAAUAGGCAGUGACCACCGAGGGGCACAUUAAUUAACUUUAUGGCACAAAAGGUUGCACGCAAAGGGCACUGCAGGCUUGGGCACCACGUGAGCUGGCCGGAGUCGCGCUCACCUGUUGUGACAGUAAUGUCACCACGGGGCGCUGACUUAACGAACGCCGUGGGAGAGCGUGGAGGCAGGUGAGGGGCGGAGGGGUUGUUCAGCGCCGGCGGAGCUCUGCUCUCCCUCCCGUGCAGGGAAGCCAGCGGGUGAAACCCGAACGGAGGACGCGGGACCUGCGGGCUGCAGGCGUGUUCUAGGGUGCGGCAAGCCGAACGAGGGAAAGCGGGCCCGAGGGGCAGGGGCGGCCGCCUGCUCUUUGUAAGGCCACCAAGAAUGUUGGACUUCUAAAAAUGUGUUCGGGGGUCCCAGGUAUGGUGGCACACACCUGUCAUCCCAGCACUCUGGGAGGCUGAAGCAGGAGCAUUACAGGUUCAAGCCCAGCCUGGGCCACUUAGUGGUUUAUCGAGACCGUGCCUCAAGGAUUAAAAAAUAAAAUAACAUAACAUAAAAUGCAGAAGGCCUGGUGAUGUAGCUCAGGGCAAAGGCAGUGCUGACAGCCGUGAGCUGGGCUCAGCUGUUACCUGGGGUGAGCCUCCCAGCCCCCAGCUCUGGGCUCCUAUGCUGUCUGACAGGGCCAAAGGAAGGGGCAAGCCUUCCUCCCUCCUCAGCCCUGGGGGUGCACCCAACAGCCCGCCCAAGGCUGUGUGUACAGGGCAGGCUGCAGGGGACACAGGGGCUCCCCCUGCUCCCUAGGGCUGGGUGUGUCCACCUCAGCCUGGCCGUGCUCUGAGCCCCUCCCUUCAGGGCAGCCCAGCCCAGCCUGGCUUUUCAGCUCGAUUGGGCUGAGGAGAGCCCUGGGGGCCCUGUGACCCGGCAGCUGGAUCAGCCUCUGCCCCGUGCUCUGCCCUGGCUCCCACCUCCCUCCAGGCCUCUGAGCCCAGCUGAGGCUGCCAGGACCCCGUCCGCCUCGAAGCAGAGGAGCCAGGCCCGUCGUGCCUGCCUGAGGCAUGGUAAGGGCAGCCCGCCCCAGGUGGACACUUCUCCCUCUGGAUGAGGUUCCGUAAGCCAGGCUGUAGGCCCAGGUACUUGGGCGGCCUAGCACAGAGGGGUGCACGAACUCAGGAGCUGGGGCCAGCAUACCAGCUCCUCUCAAAAGAGUAACUAGCAGAGGUCUCAAGAAAGGGUCUUCUCACGCUUUCUGUCCCCCACUGGGGAGCCACACCUUCACAGUGCAGACACCGCCUCAGUGCCAGGCAGUGUGCUGUGUUGCUUGGUCCUUUCAAGGCCUCUAAGGUGCCUGUGACAGCCCCGUUCUGCAGGAACACAAGGCCCAGGGGCAGUGUGGCAUCUGAGGCCACCCGGCCGGGAAGUCAGGGCUCCCAGCACUUGGGGUUCAGAUCCAUGGCCCCUGCUGGCUGUGCAAUGGACUCCCGUGCCACCCCUCCCAAGGCUCCCAGGUCCCCAGGCAGGCCGCCUCCUCCAGGAAGCCCCAGGGACUGCAGAGGGCGCCUCUCUCAUCUCACUGGACGGGAUCACGGCCUGGCUUGCAAUGCGGGCUGUGAUGUGGACACUAGAGACUGCUCCUGCUGCCCGCUCCCCUGCUGCCCAGGCUCUGGGCGAUGAACUGAGCCCCACUUCAGAGCCUGGCAGGGCCCCGGAGUCUGCACAUGGGAGGGAGGACAGGCAGCACCCUCAGGUGUGUGUGUACGUGUGACACUUCCGCUCUGCCCAGGGGACACCAGCGUCCGGUGGGGUCUCACCAGGGCCGAGAGAGCCUGUGGGCCUGAGACAGCGCCCUGGCCUGUCCCCACUCCUCUGCGGGAGUAAAUAACACACUUGUCCCUGGUAAGUUUCAUCUCGGUGGAUCCACCCCAUCGCUCUGCCUGUCAGCUCCUCUUUAGAUCUCCGCUCUGUCACCUGGCAUAGUCCUCCUAGGCCCCCAGCUGUGUGGCGUCUGCAGAUCAGAUGAAGCACACUGGGAGCCCUGGCCCCAGAGGAGGCCCUAGUGCACUGCCCGCUCUCCCCGUCCUGGGGCCCUGCACCCAACAGUUGUACCAGUGUCACUGGGGCAUAGAACACUCUGGGGACAGCCACGCCAUCCCCCCCAUCCCGCAGCCUGCUGCUUCCACACCCUGGGACCCGGCAGUGUCCUGCUGGUUUCUUCCACCAACCCAGCGUGGGGUCGAGCUGCCAUGGAUGGGGCACCUCGCUCUGCCGGGCCUCUUGGGCCUCCUCUGACCUGUGGCGGCUGGGAUGCAGCCAGAUGCCUCUCUGCGGGUGAAGACUUCCCUGCCCGUGCACCCUGGGCACUGCAUCUCAGUCUUUCCCUUGUCUUGGUGGUGAUCGCAUGGCAGGGGUACAGGCUGGGAAACCCCUCCAGAGGCUGCCCUGUCCCUGCACAAAGCUGAGCAGAGCCAGUCCCCAGCCUGGGGCGGACCUUCAGAACUGUCCUAGCCUGGGCCUGGCCCCAGGUACCAGAUGUGGAGCUGGAGACUGCAGAGCCCCCACCCCUGGGGGACCCGCCUGUGCCACGUCAGCUGCCUCCAGGGAGGAGCAGACCCCAGUGGCUUCUGGGAUAGUUUCACAGAACCCCGACAUAUCACCCCCCUCCAGCGCACCAGGCACCCACACACGUACAGGUAAAGCUACUGACAGCAGGAGGAGGCCUCGCCUGGCUGCUGUGUCCAGGUCCAUUUCUCAGCUGCGACACCCUUCGGGGACCCUGCAGGUUGUCACCUUUGAGGGAAGCAGCGGAUUUUACCUGUGAACCUUUAGUGCCCUCUUUGUGUCGUCUUAUGAGUUUUAAAUUAUUGCCAAUGAAAAAGUUGUAAUAAUAACACAACCUUAGUGGCUUUUUUUUUUUUUUUCUUUUUUUGGUCUUUUUGAGACAGGAUCUCACUAAGCAGU